CCCUAAUUUGCUGCUAAACUUGAAAUGGAGUGACUGCUGCCUGCUGUUGGUUUUUCGAGCCACAUUUGGAGUUGGGUUUGUUGGUAAGAAACUGCUGCAUUUUGGAUCAUUUGGCUGCUGAACUUCAGGAAAGAUAUCAAGAAAUAUUACGGGAAAAAUCACAGUCUCAGUCUGAUAGUGAUCAAUGUGAAGCAUAUUAUGAAGCUGCUGGGGGAACAAGGAAGAGAAGAAUAUAUGGUCUUGGAUCUCAAGCACAAAGUUAUCUGCUUUUUGUUGGAAAGAACAAAAUUAUGCACUAACAAUACUUGAUGGAUGUGUGGGUUCUUUUGGUAGUUGAUAGCUUGGUGUUGUCGGUGUUUUGGACUUAACGAUUAAGAUUUCGCUAUCUAUUUUGAAUCUUUUUUAUAAAUAUUAUUUUAUGUGAAUGUCAGUUAUUUUUAAGAGUA